rnacentral:rRNA from 1 species
CGCGUAGGCGGACUUCCAAGUCGGGUGUGAAAACUGACGGCUUAACCGGCAGCUUGCACUCGAUACUGUUAGUCUUGAGUACAGGAGAGGAAAGUGGAAUUCCAGGUGUAGCGGUGGAAUGCGUAGAUAUCUGGAAGAACACCAGUAGCGAAGGCGGCUUUCUGGACUGAUACUGACGCUAAAGCGCGGAGGCUUGGGGAGCAAACA